rnacentral:misc_RNA from 1 species
GAUGAAGAACGUAGCGAAAUGCGAUAACUAAUGUGAAUUGCAGAAUUCCGUGAAUCAUCGAGUCUUUGAACGCACAUUGCGCCCCCUGGUAUUCCGGGGGGCAUGCCUGUCCGAGCGUCAUUGCUGCCCAUCAAGCACGGCUUGUGUGUUGGGUCCCGUCCCCCUCUCCCGGGGGACGGACCCGAAAGGCAGCGGCGGCACCGCGUCCGGUCCUCGAGCGUAUGGGGCUUUGUCACCCGCUCUUGUAGGCCCGGCCGGCGCUUGCCGACACCCAACCAUUUUUUUCAGGUUGACCUCGGAUCAGGUAGGGAUACCCGCUGAACUUAAGCAUAUCAAUAAGCGGGAGGA